CACGUAGGGCGCAAGCGUUGUCCGGAAUUACUGGGCGUAAAGCGAACGUAGGCGGUGUUCCAUGUCAGAGGUGAAAGCCUGGGGCUCAACUCCAGAAUUGCCUUUGAAACGGGGACGCUUGAGUCCGAGAGAGGAUGGCGGAAUUCCUAGUGUAGAGGUGAAAUUCGUAGAUAUUAGGAAGAACACCGGUGGCGAAGGCGGCCAUCUGGCUCGGUACUGACGCUCAGGUUCGAAAGCGUGGGGAGCAAACAGG
rnacentral:rRNA from 1 species